CUGGUUUCCGGCCGCCUCGUUGCCGGGAUUUGGGGUGAGGGGCCCGCGCGCUCCGCCUGGUUCCGCUUCCGUCCCCUUGAGUUUGUCAUCAGCAUCAGUGAUGUGAGCAGUUUGGAAAUGGAUGAGAUUGCUGAUCCUGUGAGGAUGGAAGCUGGUGAUGCAACGUUGGCUAAUCACAACUCGAUAUUCAAGGCCUUUCCUCUACAACAGACUGCUAUUCCAGGGGAUCAGCUUUCACUGUCUGGUGACAAGUUUUUACCAAUCAAGUUUGGCAGUUUGGAGAGAUCUUUUACAUGCUCCACGGGAAGUGCAUCAUGCAGUCCAAGUUACUACUCAGAAAUUCCAUCCUCUGAGAGUUACCGGGUGUCGGGAGAAUUGAGAACGUUUGGACCAAGUGCCAACGGACAGGGGAGGGGUUUGGUACCCACUCUGGGUUCUAUGUUACAGAAACCUAGAGUGAGUCGAAACUUGUAUCUCGACACUCGCAAAACUCCAAGUGGAACGUCAAAUAGUUUUGUAGGGAAGUCAAACCAUCAUUGUCACGUAUCUGCAUACGAAAAAACAUUUCCAAUCAAGCCCGUUACAAGUCCCUCAUGCCGUCGCAGCCUGCUAAGCCCCAAGAAAACCCAGAGGAGAUUCGUCAGCACUGCAGAAGAGACAGUUCGAGAGGAAGAGCGAGAGAUCUACAGGCAGCUGCUUCAGAUGGUCACAGGAAAACAGUUCUCAACAUCCAAGCCGGCCUCGCUUUUCCCCCUCCACCUGCCCAGAUGUUUGAGUUCCAGUAAAAACGUAGUGAAAGAAACCCCAUGCAAGAAUGCAAAACCAUUUGAAACGUACAGCCUCGCUCCAGUCAGCCAGUCAGCUAGUGUUCUGGGAACACAGGAGCAGCCGUCACACAAGCCACCACCGUACCCUGUAUCCAGUUAUCCCUCAAAUGUUACUUUUGAGUCCGAUAAUACCACCACUCAGCAUCAGCAAGAUAAUCUACCAGCAUCCAACGCCCAGCCUGAAGGAUCAGACUCGGUCAUUGUGCUCAAGGUAAAAGAUUCCAGAACUCCGGCUCCAAGCCUCCCUUUCUUCCAGGCAGAAUUGUGGAUCAAAGAAUUAACCAGCGUCUAUGAUUCACGAGCCCGCGAAAGAUUGCGUCAAAUAGAGGAGCAGAAAGCUUUGGCAUUGCAACUGCAGAGCCAGAGAUUGCAGGAGCAGGAACACUUGAUACAGGACCCAGUGGAUUUGAAUCUUCGAGUGCCUCUUGAGAAGGAGAUCCCAGUCACAGUUCUCCCAGAAGAGAAAGAGAAUGCUAAAUCAUCUGAUAACGAAGAGGAAUUCCCUGAAAUCACAGAGGAAAUGGAGAAGGAAAUCAAGAGCGUAUUCCGCAGUGGAAACCAGGAUGAGAUCCUGAGUGAAGCUUUUCGGUUAACGAUAACCCGGAAAGACAUUCAGACCCUGAACAACCUGAACUGGCUUAACGAUGAGAUAAUUAAUUUCUACAUGAAUUUGCUGAUGGAGCGAAGCAAAGAGAAGGGGUUGCCGACAGUUCAUGCGUUUAAUACCUUCUUUUUUACUAAAUUAAAAACUGCUGGGUACCAAGCAGUGAAACGGUGGACAAAAAAAGUAGAUGUUUUCUCUGUGGAUGUUCUCUUGGUGCCUAUUCAUCUUGGAGUCCAUUGGUGCCUAGCCGUUAUAGACUUCAGGAAGAAAACCAUCACCUAUUACGAUUCCAUGGGCGGACUAAACAAUGAAGCCUGCAGGAUACUGUUCCUCUACGUGACACUGGCUUCUGCCACAUCUGGGCCUAAGGAAAUAAACACACGGAGUUGUGACAUCUGUAUACUGAAGACAUUGUAGCCCCCUGCCUCGCUAUCUUCUCUAAGAACCACUCGUGUUGAACAGAAAGGAGGCUUUUUUGGUUGAAUGCACUGGGAGGAUCACACCGGGAAGAGGGGACGGAGGUCCUAUUCAUGGCAAUACUUAAAACAGGAAAGUCUUGACAAAAAACGGAAAGAAUUUG